CUCGUAGUUGAUGACGCGGGCUGUCUUCCCUUUCACCUUGGAGAACACAAUGUCCACGUCGGUGCCGGUGACGCUUUUGCCGUCGAUGACUUUGCAGUCCUUGCACAGCUUGGCCCAGUUCUUCCCAUUCAUCUCCUGCCCCGUGGCUUUGGUGUCGCCGUAGAUGGCGAACUUACGGAAGCUCUCCUCCAGCGAUGCCAUCUCAGCGCUCCCCGCCAUGCCGCGGGACGGGGUCGGGGCAGAGCGGCCCCCCACCACCCGGAUGCUGCCUUCAGCUUCCGACGCCGACGGCCGCGAGACGCCUUCGGGGACGGCGGCUUCGGAGCGAGAGAUGCGAGCGCAUCAGCCCACCCCCAGCCUGGCCACCACCCACCGGCAUCUCCCAGCCGGCUCCCACACCCGUGCCCAUCGCAGCGCAGCAUCACCCCC
rnacentral:lncRNA from 1 species